AAAUAUUUUUGCAACUUGCAAAGCACGGGAAAAUGUCAAAUAACAGUGGGGUGGGAUGUUUUCUUUUGUUUUCUAGACCAAUCGUGCACCAGAAAGGCAUUGAAAGUAUUGUACUCGAACGAUUAUCUCAAAUUAACAGAACAUCAUAAACACAAAAUGACAAAAAUGUCUAUUAGAGCUGGCUGUGUAACGGCCAAACAAAUCGUAAUAUUGGCGCCUUUGCCUUUAAAUUCAGUCGCCGAUUUUUCCUUUUUUCUUGCCAUGGCGACCCAAACAAUCGCAGCAUGGAGCGCUGACUUUGAUAUUUAUUUAUUUGUACGUUUACGUCAAUGAUCAUCGUUCUUUUCCGUUUCAGGGUGACAGGUGUUUGGCAUUUCCAUGGCUUGGGUGGAACAUCUUCGAGCUCUUUUUCAUACUUGGGGAGAUCAUAUUUUAUAUUUCCUUCGGAAAUGUGUCUGCCGUCUUUUUAUUUAUUUACAGCCUUGGAUGGUUGCUGUCGAUCUACUUCAUAGUGGUGGUUUAUUCGUUCAUCGAAGCCCUUCGUGAAGAUCCAUCGGGAAAGAAUGCAGGAUUUUCUCCCCCUCUGCGAAGAGGCAAUCAAACUCAGAUGGCUGCAAUGGGACCCCCUCCAUACACAGUAUCCCAGAAGGGCACAGUGUAAAAUCAGCAAGAAAAAGAAAAUGUGACCGACCUAUGUGAUCAUUGAUCAUCGUUUCAAUCUGUAACUAUUUAAAAGGCCAUCUAACGCGAACUGAGUUCAACUCUGUUCAAAUGCAGUGAACAUUUUUUUCUGAUCGAUCGAAAGUAGAAUUAACCCAUUCAAAAUCACUCCUAAAAGUGAUACACAUGUAAACAGCAAACAGGUAAUGAGAAUGCGAAAACUUAUCAGGUGGAAGUUGAUGUCUCUUAAUGUGACAUCAAAUCGUCGUCACCAAUUUACAAGGAAUUGUGGGAGAAUUAACAAUCAGCUCUUGGAAGAUAAAGGGUUAAGGUACCAGUCACUUUCUAUCUCCCAGGGGGAGGGGGUAGGGGGGAGGAGUGUGUCAUAAUGAGAGUUACCUGAUUAGGGUUAACCCUAUUGAGAUCCGCUGAAAUUCAUGUGAUCCCCCAUAGGGCUCUGUUUCCGCACUAGACUCUGUUGGUGACGAGUGAUCCCCCCUCCGUUUUCCCCUAAAAAAGAGGGUCUCCAUCAUGUCAGAUGUAUUUUGUACAAGUAAGAUGGCCUAUAUGUUUUGCAUUACUAUCGUAUUAUUGGCAAUAGCCCUGGAAUAAACUUCUUUUAGUAAUCUUAA